rnacentral:lncRNA from 1 species
CUGCCAGUAACAAAAAGAUUUUCCUAUUUUUUUAUUUCAAUGAAAAGUUCAAGCAGGUGCAGGACACAUCUAGAUCGUCAACUUGCUUGAAUUAUUAUUUUUAUUUCAUUCAUAUGGAAGCAGCAGUUACAAGGCUUUAAAGAAUAUCAGCAGUAACUCCUGCAAUAUUACCAGUUCAGAGUCUGACAUGUUCAGAUUGAGAAAAAAACUUUCUACUUUCUGCUUAAGGUAAUCCUAUUUUAAUCACAGUAAAUAAGUUGUAUUAUUGGUUUUUACUUCUUUUUCUCAAUUCCCUUUUCUACUUUACUAUUUUCUUCCUCCCUCUUUCUCACACCUUCUUUCUCCAGCCAAACCUUCCUCUUCUUGUCUAUAAUUACCUCAUCAAUCCCUCCUCCUAUACAAUGAAUACUUUCUACUAUAGGUAAUUCUUUUUUUAUGCCCCAACUUAAUAGUAAAGGGGCAUUAUGUUUUCUGGUCUGUGCUCUGUUCGUUCGUCCGUCCAUCCGUGCAUCCGUCUGUGCGUCCGUUCAGGUUGAAGUUUUUGGUCAAGGUAGUUUUUGAGGAAGCUAAAGUCCAAUCAACUUGAAACUAAUAGUACACUUGUUGCUUAUGAUAUGAUCUUUCUAAUUUUAAAGCCAAAUUAGACUUUUGACCCCAAUUUCACGGUCCACUGAACAUAGAAAAUGAAAGUGGGAGGGAGUUUCAGGUUAAAGUUUUUGGUCAAGGUCUAGUUUUUGAUGAAAUUAAAGUCCAAUCAACUUGAAACUUAGUACAUAUGUUCCCUAUAGUAUAAUCUUUCUAAUUUUAAUGCCAAAUUAGAUUAUUACCCAAUUUCACGGUCCAUGGAACAUGGAAAAUGAUACUGCGAGACUGCGAGUGGGGCAUCUGUGUACUUUGGACACAUUCUUGUUUUCCCUCAAAUAAGUUGUUUUAUUAGCUUUUACUUCUGUUUUCCCCAUCCCCCUUUUUACUUUUUUUCCCCUUUCCCUUUUGUUUCUCACAGCACUUCUUCUUUUUCUCCAACCUUCAUCCCCCUAUCUCUUCAUCUACUUUCUCUUUUUCCUCUCACUAUAUUCAAAAUAACCAGAUUUAACUGUCGGAUCAUUUACAAAGAUUUCAUCUUCACCUUGUGAUGAACUUUGUUAAGAACCAAUUAAAUGAGAAGGUGUUACUGCACUGUUCUAACUUGAUAAAAUAUUCAUAUCAGAACUGUAUCUUUCUCAAAUCAAUCUUUUCUUAAUCAACUAUGAUAAGUAACUUGAUUUGAACUGAUCUGAUAGCUAAUCUAUAUUUCAUAUG